CGCGUAGGCGGUAGGAUACGUCUGAUGUGAAAGUCUUGGGCUUAACCUGAGGAUUGCAUUGGAUACGGUCUUGCUAGAGUGUAAGAGGGGAAGAUGGAAUUGUGCGUGUAGAGGUGAAAUUCGUAGAUAUGCACAAGAACACCGGAGACGAAGGCGAUCUUCUGGCUUACAACUGACGCUGAGGCGCGAAAGCGUGGGGAGCAAACA
rnacentral:rRNA from 1 species